rnacentral:rRNA from 1 species
CAGCAGCCGCGGUAAUACGUAGGUGGCAAGCGUUGUCCGGAAUUAUUGGGCGUAAAGCGCGCGCAGGCGGUUCCUUAAGUCUGAUGUGAAAGCCCACGGCUCAACCGUGGAGGGUCAUUGGAAACUGGGGAACUUGAGUGCAGAAGAGGAAAGUGGAAUUCCACGUGUAGCGGUGAAAUGCGUAGAGAUGUGGAGGAACACCAGUGGCGAAGGCGACUUUCUGGUCUGUAACUGACGCUGAGGCGCGAAAGCGUGGGGAGCAAACAGGAUUAGAUACCCUGGUAGUCCACGCCGUAAACGAUGAGUGCUAAGUGUUAGGGGGUUUCCGCCCCUUAGUGCUGCAGCUAACGCAUUAAGCACUCCGCCUGGGGAGUACGGCCGCAAGGCUGAAACUUAAAGGAAUUGGCGGG